AUGAUUACGAAUGUUGCCCCCAGUGCUGGCCAGAUCCUGGCAAGUGCACGUUGGUGACUUUCAUCCAAUCCCCUGUGCACCUUUGGCCUCUUGCUAGCUUCGGCCGGCAGAGGAAUUUACACACACUCGCAUGUAAUGAAAUCUAUUGUCGUGCGCAAGCACUAAUGUA
rnacentral:misc_RNA from 1 species